GUCACGCACGAAUAGAUUUGUCGGAAAGACACAGGUAGGUCACCGAGUAAUCCAGCACUAGUAGGCCACACAGACAAACAUCCCCCUCUGCAGAAAGCUCACCCGCACUGGUUGAGUCCACCUCGUCCGCUGGCUGCAUGACAGGACAGAGAGCGGUCGCUGCUUUGAGGCGAGGGGCGCGCAGGCGGAUCUGGAGAAGGUUUGCUCUGCGCAGAGGAAAGAUAAACAGAAGACUGGACGUAAAUAAUCCACAACCAGCAUGCUGCACAAAAUCAGGGAAUAACACUGGUCUUGCUUUGCACGAGAAGGG
rnacentral:lncRNA from 1 species